AUAAUAAUCUUGCAGUCAACAGAGCCAUUGCCACCAGCCGACAAUAUCAUUGUCAAAGUUCCCAUUUAACUUUUUCUCUCACUCAUACAUAGUCAAUUUUUCGUAUCAAAUUGUUGUCAAAUAAUUAAAAAUAAAAAAAUUCAAUCAUGUGAUUUAUGAUAAUUUUGGAAUCAUUAAGGUAUAAAUAGUUAAAUAGGUUUUAAUAUAUUGUAUUUCUAUAAUGAUAAUUCUAUGCUAUGAGAGUAUAAUGUUUUUUAGCAUUGAUAAGGCUCAAAUUAUCUUUUUUUUGGGUCAUUUAUUAUUAUUAUUUUAAUAUUAAUAAUGGCCAAAAGUAAGAGAGAGAAGGGGGCAUGAAACAACAGUACAUAAGCUGCCGUUUCUAUCGUCAUUUUCUUUUUCUUUUUUUUUUUGGUCAUUUAACAUUUUUCUUUUUUCAAUCAUGUACUAAUCUUAUCGUAUUCUUAUUGUGCAUAAAAUAUACACUUUUACCAGGAAAACAAGAAUGUGCAAACUAUUUUUCUAAAAAUAUUUUUUUCCACACGUACAGACACAAAUUAAAAAAAAAUUGAACCAAUUCUUUCAAUCUCUUGAUUUCAUAACAAAGGCCUAACCAAUAUUGAGUGAUCUUUCGUGAAUCACGUAACCAUAUACUUUAGUUAAUUAAUAAUAUAAGAUUCGCCUUUAUUUUUUACAUUCGAUCAACUAACGAUCUCAAUUCCAUAUUUCAAAAAUGACUUCUUCUUGACAUUUUGGCAAAAAUUCAAUCCAUAAUUUUCUUAUAUAGCAACCCAGCACAUGGUUUAACUAUAUUGUCACACUACAGUACCGAAACUACAUUUGAGGAAUGAAAUAUUUUGUUUAAUUUGUUCAUCAUAGUAUAAAUCAACAACAACAAUAAUUUCAUUUAUGGAUCGCUUCAUAUGAUCAAAAGGCAAAACUAAAUAGGCAAAUCAUGCAGCAAGGCUCAGCAAAUUAUUAAAAAGUCCUGCAAGAAUAUAAUAGUUAAUCAACUUGGAAUUUUUGGCUCUCUUUAAUUUCAAGGAGCUGUGGCUAGAAACCAUGCGAAAUAUUGCCUAUAGAAAAUUAAUCCAUUAGGCAUCCCUCCACUUAUAGGACACUAAUAAAGACCAAAAUCUUCACAUUGACUCGGUUUUUAAUUAGGAUAAAGUAUACAAACAUUAGCUCAUAUAUAUAUAUUUAUGGAAAGAAGAGAUGCACAUGAAUGCAACUCAUACCGAGAUUUGAUCAUUGAUUCAUCAUUAUUUUCGUUAAUUGUUUGGUCAUGAAAAACUAGAAUUGGAUUGCAUCUUGGCUUAGGUGGCUUCCACUAGAUCUGAUUUUCUGGCAUCGUCAGAGCUCAACGGCCCGUCAAAUCUGACACCUGGCCGGAGUCAAAACUGUCAAACCAUCUAGGUGCACUUGAUCUUGUAAAUUAGUUUAGCAUCAAAGGUUGACUUUUCUUAGGGUUUAGGGUUUUGACCUUAACAUGCAUUGUUCUAUUAUUAUUAUAAUGAAGGGAAGAAUGUUUAGUUUUGACUCUGAAUUCUGAAAAUGGUUUAGGGCUUUGCAUGUUCAUGGCACAUGCACAUGCACGUGUGUGAGCUCCUACACGCAUGCUCAGAAAGGCAUGUGACGUUUGCAUAUGACGAAUUGAAUGCUCUCUUUCUAUAUUUUAGGAACAUCUAUUUUCUUUUUAUGUGAUAUAAUUCAGGAUGUAUCUAAAAGACCUUUUAGCACUAUAUAUCAGAUUUAUCACAUUACAAUCUACUAGAUAGUUUGAGGUAUCAUCAAGCAUGGUUCAAAAAUUCAUAUAUAAUGCACAGACGAGACGUACGCCACACUGAUUUGAUUGGAAGAAGAGUUUUUACAACAUGACCAAUAACUCAAGUGAUCAACAAUUAUCAACUUCAAUAAAAAUAAAAUGCCUUCUUUAUCUAUUUGAUCCGUUUAAUUGCUGCUAAAUACUGUUAGUAAACUUGUUUUCAUGAUGAUUUUAGGCAUCACUAAAAGAUCCGUUUAAUUUUAUUUUUUUAAAUACUUAUUUACUUAUGUAGCAAAUAGAAGAAUAAAAAAAUAAGCCAUCUCCCAAAAGACUUUUCAAAUGGAGAUGAGUUUAAUUAUUUUAAUUAAUUUCUUCUCUCACCAAAUUUAAUUAUCCUCCAUUUUUUAAAUAAUGUACUUAUUGUACUUCCAUCUCUUCAAUAAUAAUGAUAUUGAAAAUACUAUAACAUUAUUUGAAAAAGGAGAAGUCACUCUUCAAUAUUAAAGAGAGAGAAGAAUAAUCUCAAUUGAAGAAUUUCAUUUAAAGAUCUUAUUGGAACCCAUGUAGUGCCUUAAAUAAUUUUUUUUUUUUAAUGUUUUGGUGAUGCUUUAAAAUUUUCAAUAAUUUUUACUCUUCGACUAAUCUCUUUUGAAUUUAAUCAUCAUUAGUCAAUGGAGAGAGAGUUUAUGAAAUGGGUCGAAAUGGGCUUUUAUCAUUCAUUGUAGUGAAAAGAAAAUGACAGCCCCUAUUAAUGAGUAGCGCAAUUAAUUAAUAUUCACAAUUCAUAACAAAAGUUAUGAGAACUAUAAUUAUGCCUAAUUGAAGUUACCUAAAAGUCAAAAGUAAUUUGCCUUGGUACUGUUAUAAUCUUUCAAGUUGUUGGUCAUGUGCUGACUUUCAUUUUAAAACAAUAAAUUACCACUUAAAUGUUAGACUUUAUGGUUAUGUAUGAACAAGCAUCAGCAUCAAGCUCAUAAUCCAAUUUUGGUAUCUAGCUAGCAUAUAUGAAAACACUCGCUAAUGGAUUUAUUGAUUAUGGGUCCCCUACUGCCCAACAUGCAUGUCGUAUUGGGGACUAACAGUGACAAAUUCUUUCGUUAAUCGGAACAAUUUUAAACGCAUAUUCACUUAUAAGUUAUAUCCACACAUCAAUUAUAUUCGAUUUUUUUUUGGAAAUUUUUAACCUACCCCCAAAUAAAUUGACAUUUUGUACCGCAUCCCCAAUAAAUUUGACUUGUUGCACCGCGCCCCUAAUUCCGUUAUUUUUUUAGUUAAGUUUAACAGUAGAGAGGUAAAAUUAGAAGUUCAUU
rnacentral:lncRNA from 1 species